rnacentral:rRNA from 1 species
GCAUAUCAAUAAGCGGAGGAAAAGAAACCAACAGGGAUUGCCCCAGUAACGGGCGAGUGAAGCGGCAACAGCUCAAAAUUUGAAAUCUGGCCCCAGGCCCGAGUUGUAAUUUGCAGAGGAUGCUUUUGGCGCGGUGCCUUCCGAGUUCCCUGGAACGGGACGCCAUAGAGGGUGAGAGCCCCGUACGGUUGGACACCAAGCCUUUGUAAAGCUCCUUCGACGAGUCGAGUAGUUUGGGAAUGCUGCUCUAAAUGGGAGGUACAUUUCUUCUAAAGCUAAAUAUUGGCCAGAGACCGAUAGCGCACAAGUAGAGUGAUCGAAAGAUGAAAAGCACUUUGAAAAGAGGGUUAAACAGCACGUGAAAUUGUUAAAAGGGAAGCGCUUGUGACCAGACUUGCGUCCGGUGAAUCACCCAGCUCUCGCGGCUGGGGCACUUCGCCGGCACAGGCCAGCAUCAGCUUGCCGUCGGGGACAAAAGCUUCAGGAACGUGGCUCCUCUCGGGGAGUGUUAUAGCCUGUUGCACAAUACCCUUCGGCGGGCUGAGGUACGCGCUCCGCAAGGAUGCUGGCGUAAUGGUCAUCAGCGACCCGUCUUGAAACACGGACCAAGGAGUCAACCUUAUGUGCGAGUGUUUGGGUGUUAAACCCCUACGCGUAAUGAAAGUGAACGCAGGUGAGAGCUUCGGCGCAUCAUCGACCGAUCCUGAUGUUCUCGGAUGGAUUUGAGUAAGAGCAUAUAGGGUUGGACCCGAAAGAAGGUGAACUAUGCGUGUGUAGGGUGAAGCCAGAGGAAACUCUGGUGGAGGCUCGCAGCGGUUCUGACGUGCAAAUCGAUCGUCAAACAUGCGCAUGGGGGCGAAAGACUAAUCGAACCUUCUAGUAGCUGGUUUCCGCCG